ensembl:lncRNA
UUUUUUUAAAUUCCUCACUUAAUAGAAUUAAGGAGAAUAAUCGCGUCACGCAGAUCUCGCUGCGGCGUCUUCUGCGCUUUUCUCAUAGCCGCUGAUCUACACCCCCCUCUGUCUCUGAGGUGGGGAGGCGCGCGUCAUCUCCCAACUGAUGCCCAUUGAUUUAUGAUUUGGUCUUUUUGGUGGGGGGCAUUUAUCGGCCUUGGACUUUCACCAGCUGUCCCCUCAGCCUGAGCGGGGGGGUACCUGUAACUUUCUUCUGCCGCCGUCUUUGCGGGUUUUCCGUCUCAUACGCGCAACACUGUAGCCGGAGAGGCGCGCGCUCGAGGAGCCCCGCAUCGUGCAGAUACGCGCAGCGCUCCAACUCGAGACCACCCACGACCCCUGCCUCGGAGGAGCCGCAGGAGCUCACCGCGUGGACUCAAGACACCCGCAGGGGGAGCGGUUUGAUUUCCCCACCGCCGGCCACCGGACCAACUGGGAUUGUAACACCCCGCCCCGCUGGGAUUUCUGCCAUGUCAGGUGCACGGGACUGCAGAUGGGCCGUCCUCGUCUCUGUGGCGGCGCUUUCGUGUGAGUGGACCACCCUGAUCCCAUCAGCGCCCAAACGAAGUCUCCCGCAUCCUUGAUCGUCGGAAGAUAUCAACGGGUCAAAGGUCAGGGAGCGCUACAAGGCUUCUGUGGGACCAACUUGCUGGAUUUAAAAGAAGACCUGCAUAAUUUCCCUGGCUAAUAACGAUAAUAUAUUCAGCGAACGAGUGAUUCCCAGUUACAUCCGCUGAAUUGUCUGGACAGCUGACAGCCGUGUGUGAUUGACGGAUGCGCCGCGUGAGCAGCUGACGACGGGCGUGGUCGCGUGUCUCUCCUCCCUCCUCAGGGUCCCACGCAGAAAGAAGCCGCCGCUGCCGGCUUUCACCGCGUCGGCGCGAGGUCGGCCCCGCGUGUAAUUACUCACACUUACCGGGUACCAAGCCAAAUUAACCUUUUGGCAGGAAGCACCUGUGGACGUCUUUUUAAAGCCCUGAUUCCUGUGCCGCCUCCAAAACGCGUGCCAGCGUUAUUAUCUCUGGUUCAGUUGCGUCCAUUUCAAACCCGAUCUGCCCUUUCAGUCUAAUUCAUUCCGGGUCAAAGCAAUUAUUCUUUGAUAAUGAUUUGUCUGUCCUUUUUCUUUUUUGAUAAACCCC